AGAGGGUCCCAAAGGUAACAAAAGUAAUAAAAAAUAUACUUUAGCAGUAAUUCGGUCUUUCAAGCAGUAUCAUUCAACAACUUUGGUUUUUCAACAAUCAUGUCUAAAUGUGAAAAAAAAUUCAUCUGUUUUUAAUAAGUUUGUAAUUCAAAGCAUAGCAACGUCAAAUAGGGAAAAAAAAUUUUACUUAACAAAUUAGUUAAUUUUUUUUGCCUAAUGGAUUUUUUCCAAAAAAUUUGAACAAAAUUAUACAUUUUCAGAUUCCUCUCAUGAAGAUGAAGCGAAAAAUAUAAAUUUUGAUCAAACGAUAAAAAAUAUAUUCAUAAAAAAUUCAAAAGUCAAAACAUAUUAAAAAAAUCUCAAAAAAAAAAAUUUAAGCCAAACUGGGCCUAAAAAGCGUAGUAUACAACUUGAUGACGCAUGACUAGUUAGGGUUUUGCAAUAUCACUAUGUUCACAGCCGAAUCACAAACCCUCGACUAAGAUUUUUCUAAUGGCACAUUUCUUUGCACCCCAAUAAAUAAUUUAUACUAAUUAACACUAUAAAACUAAAGUAAAUAUUUUUACAAUAGCUUAAAUGUUAUUCAUUUGGUAUUAAAAAACCAACAAAAAAAUGGAUUUGGCUGGGUGCACCGUGUUGUUAGCAAAAUAUAUGGCACCUUUUACAUAAAUAUUCAAUUUAUAAGCCCUACAAUAUAAACGAUUUAGAUCACAUAAUGGAUUUGGGUGGGUGCACUGUGUUGUUAGCAAAACAUAUGGCACCUUUCCGUUCGAAUUAUGUGAUCUAAAUCGUUUAUAUUAUAGGGCUCACAAAUUGAAUAUUUACGUAAAGAAAUUUGAUUAUCUGAAUAUCGAUAGCUACAUGAUCAAAUCAUAUUUAUUUAAUUCAACUAUGUAAUUAUAGAUGUUUGAUCAACAUGAAUUAAAUACUCGAUGAACCCUACAAGAUCUAUAAUUCCAAGGGGCAAGUGAAGGCAAAACGAUGUGUUGCCCACCUUAAAUGACGCUUACCCAAUAUCAAUAGUCAAUAAUGUGAAUUAAACUAUUAUUUUGUAAGAAUUAUCAAGUACAUAACUCAAGAAAAAUUUUAAAUUAAUUAAACAAUAGUAAACACGUGUUGUGUUCAGAUCAUACUUCUCGUUAUUUUUCUAUAUACAAAUAUGAUCCAUCAGAUGCCUUACACAACAUACAAGAUUGUUCCGCUCAUAUAAUUGGACCUGAGUUAUAACUCAACUGUGUAACAAAGUUGCCAAAUUUUUCCAUUUUAGCAACCCGACAGAGAAAAAAAAACGGAAAUGAUCAAAUAGAUCAAUUAUUCUUUUUUUCUCUAUCAAAUCUUUAAUCUAAAGACAACUUAAAGGAUUUAUAAAAUCGAUUUAAUUAAGCUAUAUAUGGAAAAUCUCCAGUUUGUUGAAGAAAAACAGAAGUGAAAAAAUAUCCUACUUCAAUUUUCUAUUUUAUUUUCUUACAUUGGAAAAAAUAUCAAGGGCGGCCCCCACAAUGGGUUAUGCUAUAAGAACCCAACCACUCACAAACAUAAGAGAAGCAUUUUCAAAAGAGAACUGAUCAGACGUGCUCGAGUCCGUGAUAAUACUUAUCUGGCACGUCUACAUCCACUCAUUUAGAGGUGGACUCCACUAUUUUUAUUUUUUAUUUUUUAUUUUUUUAAAGUGGAAUCUACUUUCAAAUAGGUGGAUGUGAGCGCGCCACAUAAACGAACCCAUAGUAAUACUACUGACUCGAGCCUUCUGAUCAGUUCUCUUUUCAAAAACACCUUUAUUUCUCACAUCACAUCAAUCAUUACAUAGACUCCCACUCUAAUAACAUCUCACAUUCAACUCUACACACUAGAUAUGGAAGCAUUCCAUGGAUAAAAAAAGAAAAUUAGUAAAACAAGAUUUUAUUAACCCGACCCAAUUCCUUUGCUUUUAUUUGCAGCUCUCUAGAGACUCAAUCCACCUGCAAAUUAAGAGAGACAAAGUGAUUACAAAUGUCACCAAGUGUAUGCAUAUGAUUAUCGACCAUUGUAUAUGGAUUAAAAGAUUUAAAAAAAAAAAUUAGGCUGCAUUUGGAUAAAUGACGAGAGAAAAAGAAAAAAAAUUAAAUAAUUUAAUCGUUUGAAAUUAUUUAAUUAUUUAUCUUUUUAUUUUUAUUUCUUUUUUCUCUCAAUGAUCCAAACACACCUUAGUGGCAAUGUUUUAAACCUAAAUUGACCCGUCUGGUUCGACCGGUCGAAAAAACGGUCUGAUCGGCCGUCAAAACCCGUCAAAAUCUAUUUUGAUCAAAAUUCGAUCAAACUCGCGGUUGAACCGGAGAUCCGGCGAUUGAACUAGUUAUUAAAUCAGCCGAUUCACUGUUUUAAGAGAAAUUUUAUGUUUUAAUUUCAAAAUUUUAAGUUUAGUAUAAAAAGUAGUAUAAAAAAAUAAAAAAUAUUUCAUUACUAUUAAUAAAUAAAUUAAUGAUAUAAUUAUGACAUCACGGGUCAAUAACGACGGUUGAAU
rnacentral:lncRNA from 1 species